UACGUAGGUGGCAAGCGUUGUCCGGAAUUAUUGGGCGUAAAGCGCGCGCAGGUGGUUUCUUAAGUCUGAUGUGAAAGCCCCCGGCUCAACCGGGGGAGGGUCAUUGGAUACUGGGAAGCUAGAGUGUGAUAGAGGAUGGUGGAAUUCCCGGUGUAGCGGUGAAAUGCGUAGAGAUCGGGAGGAACAUCAGUGGCGAAGGCGGCCAUCUGGAUCAACACUGACGCUGAGACACGAAAGCGUGGGGAGCAAACAGG
rnacentral:rRNA from 1 species